CUACGACACCAUAUCACGUUGAAAUAACACCGGUUCUCUCCGAUCACCGAAGUUAAGCAACGUCGAGCCCGUUAGACUUGGAUGGUGAGCCGUCCUGGAAAUAACCGUUUUGUAAC
rnacentral:rRNA from 1 species